GACUAUAAUUUGGGAGGAUUGUACAUUUUUUAAAACAUAUCCUAAUUGUACAAUCCUCCAAAAUUAUAGUCUUAGUUCACGGGGCCAGUAACUAUCUAGUGAUGUAGCCUACUGU